rnacentral:rRNA from 1 species
GACGAACGCUGGCGGCGUGCUUAACACAUGCAAGUCGAACGGAAAGGCCCUGCUUUUGUGGGGUUCUCGAGUGGCGAACGGGUGAGUAACACGUGAGUAACCUGCCCUUGACUUUGGGAUAACUUCAGGAAACUGGGGCUAAUACCGGAUAGGAGCUCCUGCUGCAUGGUGGGGGUUGGAAAGUUUCGGCGGUUGGGGAUGGACUCGCGGCUUAUCGGCUUGUUGGUGGGGUAGUGGCUUACCAAGGCUUUGACGGGUAGCCGGCCUGAGAGGGUGACCGGCCACAUUGGGACUGAGAGACGGCCCAGACUCCAACGGGAGGCAGCAGGGGGGAAUAUUGCACAAUGGGCGGAAGCCUGAUGCAGCAACGCCGCGUGCGGGAUGACGGCCUUCGGGUUGUAAACCGCUUUCGCCUGUGACGAAGCGUGAGUGACGGUAAUGGGUAAAGAAGCACCGGCUAACUACGUG